GCGGAAUGCUUUACACAUGCAAGUCGAGCGGCAGCGCGGGGCAACCUGGCGGCGAGCGGCGAACGGGUGAGUAAUACAUCGGAACGUACCCAAUCGUGGGGGAUAACUAUCCGAAAGGAUGACUAAUACCGCAUAAGUCCUGAGGGAGAAAGCAGGGGAUCGCAAGACCUUGCGCGAAUGGAGCGGCCGAUGUCGGAUUAGCUAGUUGGUGGGGUAAAGGCCUACCAAGGCGACAAUCCGUAGCUGGUCUGAGAGGACGACCAGCCACACUGGAACUGAGACACGGUCCAGACUCCUACGGGAGGCAGCAGUGGGGAAUUUUGGACAAUGGGGGCAACCCUGAUCCAGCCAUUCCGCGUGAGUGAAGAAGGCCUUCGGGUUGUAAAGCUCUUUCGGCAGGGAAGAAACGGUCCAGGCUAAUACCCUGGACCAAUGACGGUACCUGAAGAAGAAGCACCGGCUAACUACGUGCCAGCAGCCGCGGUAAUACGUAGGGUGCGAGCGUUAAUCGGAAUUACUGGGCGUAAAGCGUGCGCAGGCGGUUUUGU
rnacentral:rRNA from 1 species